AACGAACGCUGGCGGCAUGCCUAACACAUGCAAGUCGAACGAGACCUUCGGGUCUAGUGGCGCACGGGUGCGUAACGCGUGGGAACCUGCCCUUAGGUUCGGAAUAACUCCCCGAAAGGGGUGCUAAUACCGGAUAAUGUCUUCGGACCAAAGAUUUAUCGCCUUUGGAUGGGCCCGCGUUGGAUUAGCUAGUUGGUAGGGUAAAAGCCUACCAAGGCGACGAUCCAUAGCUGGUCUGAGAGGAUGAUCAGCCACACUGGGACUGAGACACGGCCCAGACUACUACGGGAGGGAGCAGUGGGGAAUAUUGGAAAAUGGGCGAAAGCCUGAUCCAGCAAUGCCGCGUGAGUGAUGAAGGCCUUAGGGUUGUAAAGCUCGUUUACCCGGGAUGAUAAUGACAGUACCGGGAGAAUAAGCUCCGGCUAACUCCGUG
rnacentral:rRNA from 1 species